CACGUAGUUAGCCGGUGCUUAUUCUUACGGUACCGUCAUCAGCCUCCCGUAUUAGGGAAGACCUUUUCGCUCCGUACAAAAGCAGUUUACAACCCGAAGGCCUUCUUCCUGCACGCGGCAUUGCUGGAUCAGGCUUGCGCCCAUUGUCCAAAAUUCCCCA
rnacentral:rRNA from 1 species